GGAUUAUCCUGGAGCUGGGAUCAGCCUGGACCUGGCCUCCAGAUCCCAGGGAAUUUGGCCAGAAUGGAAAGAGUUGGAACGUGGCCACAGAGAUGAGGCUUAGAAUUGCCAAAGCAAAGAUUGUCGGCCAUGGGUGUCCAAUGGGUGUCCCAUGUCACCCUUCUGGUGGCACCCCAGACUUCGUUCUAGUGCCACCAAGGAGCUUCGGGAUGGGGAGCCACCACAGAGGGCACAGAGCUGGCAGGGCCACCAAGAUGGGCACAGGAGUGGCAGGGCCACCAAGGAAGGCACAGGAAUGGCAGGGCCACCAAGGAAGGCACAGGAAUGGCAGGGCCACCAAGCUGGGCACAGGACUGUCACUUCCAGGGGAUGCAGGGACACCUCUGCCUUCCCCAUCCCUGUGUUCCCAGCUUCCCUACCGGGACCCCAGGGCGCUCCCCCAGUUCCUGCAGGUUCCUCGUGUUAGCACCAGGCAGCGGAAAGGUCUAAAUUAGAGCUGUUAAUUCCUAACGAGGCACCUGGGCUUCCCAAAAAAGAGCGGAGCAGGAGCUGGGGAUGAGCAGGGACCCCCUCAGUGGCUGCCCUGACUCAGUUCCUGGAAGAGUUGGUGCAGCCGUUCC